CCUACGGGAGGCAGCAGUGAGGAAUAUUGGUCAAUGGGCGCAAGCCUGAACCAGCCAUGCCGCGUGCAGGACGACGCAUCUAUGGUGUGUAAACUGCUUUUGUACGGGAAGAAACCCUGCCACGUGUGGCAGAUUGACGGUACCGUAAGAAUAAGGAUCGGCUAACUCCGUGCCAGCAGCCGCGGUAAUACGGAGGAUCCAAGCGUUAUCCGGAAUCAUUGGGUUUAAAGGGUCCGUAGGCGGUUUUAUAAGUCAGUGGUGAAAUCCGGCAGCUCAACUGUCGAACUGCCAUUGAUACUGUAGGACUUGAAUUAUUGUGAAGUAACUAGAAUAUGUAGUGUAGCGGUGAAAUGCUUAGAUAUUACAUGGAAUACCCAUUGCGAAGGCAGGUUACUAACAAUAUAUUGACGCUGAUGGACGAAAGCGUGGGGAGCGAACAGGAUUAGAUACCCUGGUAGUCCACGCCGUAAACGAUGGAUACUAGCUGUUCGGAUGNAAUAUGAGUGGCGUAGACGAAGUAGAUAAGUAUACCACCGUCGGGAGGUACGAACGACGAAGUUAGUAAACGUACAAAUAGAAGUUAGUACGGACGUGAGACGUUAGCCGACGGACGACCGACGAGGGGAGGGUAGGGAG
rnacentral:rRNA from 1 species